UGUGUGCAAUUAUAGAUGGCGUGACAACAUCAUCACCUCCUGAGACCCGGCAGAAGAGAAAUUAGUAUUUUUUUUUGUGGGGCAAGUUGCGAUCAGGAGACAUCAUCAUACUGAUCUCUCCAGAAUCAAGAAAAAAAGGAAUGAGAAUGACUCCAGUCAGAGAAGACAUCACAAAAAGGAACAUGUGAACAAAUAGAUGUGGACAACACACAGAUGACACCUGUCUGAAUUUUUUUUGGUCCCAUAGAAAUUAAUGGGUCUGUGUUCGAUCUGCAAGAAAUGCGGAUCAGACGCGGACCAACUAUACAGUAAUGUCCAUGAUGCCUAAAAUCAAUCAAAUACUUUAAGUAGCCGAAAAUAAUAGCAAUGAAAGCUACAAGUCGUCCUACAAAAAUCAAGCCCUUGCACAGCUUCAUAGAAAGAAAAAUAAAACAGGAUGCUGCAAUGCAAAAGC